UACAGAGGUCCCAAGCGUUGUUCGGAUUCAUUGGGCGUAAAGCGUCCGCAGGUGGCUAUGUAAGUCUGCUGUUAAAGAGUGAGGCUCAACCUCAUAAGAGCAGUGGAAACUACAUGGCUAGAGUGCGUUCGGGGCAGAGGGAAUUCCUGGUGUAGCGGUGAAAUGCGUAGAGAUCAGGAAGAACACCGGUGGCGAAAGCGCUCUGCUAGGCCGCAACUGACACUGAGGGACGAAAGCUAGGGGAGCGAAUGGG
rnacentral:rRNA from 1 species